UCCUCCUGACAAUGGGCAAAGAGAUAUCUUGUUGGUGGUGUUGUUCUUAUAUCAGUCAGGAGCAGAGCAGAUGGCCAUCCUUUCUUCAUCCUAGCUUGAUUUGUGGCUUGAGGGCCUAACCUGUCUUAUCCCUAGGACUCAUAA
ensembl:snoRNA Gm24963 predicted gene, 24963